CCUGGCUCAGAACGAACGCUGGCGGCGUGCUUAACACAUGCAAGUCGAGCGAGAAAGGGAGCUUCGGCUCCUGAGUAAAGCGGCGCACGGGUGAGUAACACGUGGGUAACCCGCCUUUCAGUGGGGGAUAACAGUUCGAAAGGGCUGCUAAUACCGCAUUCGUCCACACGGUCACAUGUCUGUGUGGAGAAAGAGGCGCAAGUCUCGCUGGAAGAUGGGCCCGCGGUCCAUUAGCUAGUUGGUGGGGUAAAGGCCUACCAAGGCUUCGAUGGAUAGCUGGUCUGAGAGGAUGAUCAGCCACACUGGAACUGAGACACGGUCCAGACUCCUACGGGAGGCAGCAGUGGGGAAUAUUGCGCAAUGGGCGAAAGCCUGACGCAGCAACGCCGCGUGUGUGAUGAAGGCCUUCGGGUUGUAAAGCACUGUUCAGAGGGAAGAAGUGACGGGGGUAAACACUCCGUUUCGACGGUACCUCUGAAGAAAGCACUGGCUAACUCCGUG
rnacentral:rRNA from 1 species